rnacentral:rRNA from 1 species
UACGGAGGGUGCAAGCGUUGUUCGGAAUCAUUGGGCGUAAAGCGCGUGUAGGCGGCUUGGCAAGUCAGUUGUGAAAGCCCGGGGCCCAACCCCGGAACUGCAUCUGAAACUGCUUGGCUGGAGUCCCGGAGAGGAAGGCAGAAUUCCCGGUGUAGGGGUGAAAUGCGUAGAGAUCGGGAGGAACAUCUGUGGCGAAGGCGGCCAUCUGGACCAGCACUGACACUGAGGCACGAAAGCGUGGGGAGCAAACAGG